ACCAGUGUGACGUAGUGGUUUGAGUGUUGGACUAUAACUUUGGAGACUUGGGUUCAAAUCCCUGCUCAGCCA